rnacentral:rRNA from 1 species
GACGAACGCUGGCGGCGUGCCUAAUACAUGCAAGUAGAACGCUGAAGAGAGGAGCUUGCUCUUCUUGGAUGAGUUGCGAACGGGUGAGUAACGCGUAGGUAACCUGCCUUGUAGCGGGGGAUAACUAUUGGAAACGAUAGCUAAUACCGCAUAACAAUGGAUGACACAUGUCAUUUAUUUGAAAGGGGCAAUUGCUCCACUACAAGAUGGACCUGCGUUGUAUUAGCUAGUAGGUGAGGUAAUGGCUCACCUAGGCGACGAUACAUAGCCGACCUGAGAGGGUGAUCGGCCACACUGGGACUGAGACACGGCCCAGACUCCUACGGGAGGCAGCAGCAGGGAAUCUUCGGCAAUGGGGGCAACCCUGACCGAGCAACGCCGCGGGAGUGAAGAAGGUUUUCGGAUCGUAAAGCUCUGUUGUAAGUCAAGAACGGGUGUGAGAGUGGAAAGUUCACACUGUGACGGUAGCUUACCAGAAAGGGACGGCUAACUACGUG